GAUGGAGUGCCUGAAUAAAGGGUUAUUUUGAUAGAAUAAAUCAUGUAAUAUCACUUACCUCUGUUA
rnacentral:tRNA from 1 species